rnacentral:lncRNA from 1 species
CAAAGGACUACAAAUCCUUGAUCAUCACAUAUCUUAUUUGAUUCUUAUUUUCUUCACAAGAAAAAAAAAAUGUAUUAUCUGAAAACUUUUCCCCAGUUUCUCAUUGAAAAAAUCAUGGCAUGAAACAAUUUACACAAUUUCAUUUCAAUAAGACCCCAAAAAAACGCAAAAGAGGGGUGCACUAAGUUAAAGGCCACAUUCUUCAAUGUUUAGCUAUUGACGUA